UACAGAGGUCUCAAGCGUUGUUCGGAUUCAUUGGGCGUAAAGGGUGCGUAGGUGGCGCGGUAAGUCGGGUGUGAAAUUUCGGAGCUUAACUCCGAAACUGCAUUCGAUACUGCCGUGCUUGAGGACUGGAGAGGAGACUGGAAUUUACGGUGUAGCGGUGAAAUGCGUAGAUAUCGUAAGGAAGACCAGUGGCGAAGGCGGGUCUCUGGACAGUUCCUGACGCUGAGGCACGAAGGCCAGGGGAGCAAACAGG
rnacentral:rRNA from 1 species